rnacentral:rRNA from 1 species
AUUGAACGCUGGCGGAAUGCUUUACACAUGCAAGUCGAACGGCAGCACGGGGGCAACCCUGGUGGCGAGUGGCGAACGGGUGAGUACUACAUCGGAACGUGCCCGGUCGUGGGGGAUCACGUAGCGAAAGUUACGCUAAUACCGCAUACGCUCUGAGGAUGAGAGCGGGGGACCUUCGGGCCUCGCGCGAUCGGAGCGGCCGAUGUCAGUUUAGGUAGUUGGUGGGGUAAAGGCCUACCAAGCCGACAGUCGGUAGCUGGUCGGAGAGGGCGACCAGCGACACUGGGACUGAGACACGGCCCAGACUCCUACGGGAGGCAGCAGUGGGGAAUUUUGGACAAUGGGGGCAAGCCUGAUCCAGCCAUGCCGCGUGCAGGACGAAGGCCUUCGGGUGGGAAACUGCUUUUGUAUGGAACGAAAAGGCUCUGGCUAAUACCUGGGGCUCAUGACGGUACCGUAAGAAUAAGCACCGGCUAACUACGUG